rnacentral:rRNA from 1 species
CGCGUAGGCGGGUCGUUAAGUUGGGGGUGAAAGCCCAGGGCUCAACCCUGGAAUUGCCUUCAAUACUGGCGACCUUGAGUAUGGCAGAGGUGUGUGGAACUCCGAGUGUAGAGGUGAAAUUCGUAGAUAUUCGAAAGAACACCAGUGGCGAAGGCGACACACUGGGCCAUUACUGACGCUGAGGCGCGAAAGCGUGGGGAGCAAACAGGAUUAGAUACCCUGGUAGUCCACGCUGUAAACGAUGAGUGCUAGUUGUCGGUAUGCAUGCAUAUCGGUGACGCAGUUAACGCAUUAAGCACUCCGCCUGGGGAGUACGGUCGCAAGAUUAAA